rnacentral:rRNA from 1 species
GAUGAACGCUAGCGAUAGGCUUAACACAUGCAAGUCGAGGGGUAACGUGUUGGAAGCUUGCUUCCGAUGACGACGACCGGCGGAUGGGUGCGUAACGCGUAUGCAACUUGCCUCACAGUGGAGAAUAACCCGGAGAAAUCCGGACUAAUACUCCAUACACUCUUAAGUACGCCUGUACAUGAGAGGAAAGAUUUAUCGCUGUGAGAUAGGCAUGCGUCCUAUUAGGUAGUUGGUGAGGUAACGGCUCACCCAGCCGACGAUAGGUAGGGGUGCUGAGAGGCAGAUCCCCCACAUUGGGACUGAGACACGGCCCAAACUCCUACGGGAGGCAGCAGUGAGGAAUAUUGGUCAAUGGAGGAAACUCUGAACCAGCCAAGUCGCGUGAAGGAAGAAUGUCCUAAGGAUUGUAAACUUCUUUAGCGAGCGAGUAAGGACUUCCACGUGAUGGGAGUUUGAAAGUAGCUCGAGAAUAAGUAUCGGCUAACUCCGUG